AGUCAGAAGAAGAGGAGGGUUCUUCCGGAUGCCUUGUGGCAGGUUCCGCUAAGUAGCAAGCUGGCUUUAACGUUUUUCUGUGAUGUGCUCUCUGUCUUGCCACUUGAUGCUGUGAAGUGCGCUCAGGCAAGCUCCGAAGUUGAGACAUGGAUGCAGUAACCUAUGAUGAUGUGCAUGUGAAUUUCACUCAAGAAGAAUGGGCUUUGCUGGAUCCUUCACAGAAGAGUCUCUACAAAGAGGUGAUGCUGGAGACCUACAAGAACCUCACUGCUAUAGGCUACAACUGGGAAGAUCAUAAUAUUGAAGAACAUUGUCAAAGUUCCAGAAGACAUGGAAGGUAUAUCUUCUUUUAAUGUUGCAAUGGACACGAGCCAUGUGAACAUAGGGAUAUUGAAAGAAGAAAUGUACUUCUCUUUCUCUCUCUCCAAGAACAAUUAAAAUAUAUGUAGUAGUCCCCAUUUGAGCAGACUUUCUCCGUGUGAUACAAGUUUAUAAUUAGUUGGUUUUCCAACUUCCUUGGGAAUGUAUCCAUAAACUCACACUGUAGAAAAUCCCUAUGAGUACUGGAAUGUGAAAAUUCUUUUCUGUUUGUCCUGGUUUACUUUGCCAAUGUAGUAUGCAAGUGUAGUGUACUUCACAAUACAGGAAAAUUUAUGAAUGUAA
rnacentral:lncRNA from 1 species